AGAAGGGGGUGGAGAAGCAGACACAGGUGGCGCUUGGGAGGGUGAGCGGCUGGCUGGAGUGUUUUGGCCGGCCCUGGUCAGUCUUGCCCCACACUCUGGUAAUAAGUGUUUCCGUAUUCCCGGCAGCUUCUCUGUACCAAGCACCGCCACGCAGCACCAGAUAGUAUGUCACAGUAACCAUUUCACUUGUGGUCGGACCAUCGGCUUCGAUAAUUCUUGUGUAUCAGCUGGGAAUGUGUCCUGACUCACCUAAGGAACCAAACGCAAUUAGUUGUUUCCGUUUCAUCAUUUUUUUUUUCAGCCUGAGAGAGAGAGAGAGAGAGAGAGAGAGAGAGAGAGAGAGAGAGAGAGAGAGAGAGAGAGAGAGAGAGAGAGAGAAAAAGAACAAGCUCAUUAUCGCAGUGAACACCCGCGUCACGAACCAGCCUGGCACCCAAAAGCCACUUCAAUCCCUGCUUGCAGACCUCUGAAACGUGAACUCUGAGUAUUUAUUUUGAUUCAGAGUACUAAACUUCUUUGGUUGCGAUAUGAUAUAGGCGUAGAUCACGAUAGAGCGUUCUAGUGGCCUACGUAAUGAUAUACAACUAAUAAUAUUCGAAUGAAGCACCACGAGUCACUUCCCUUAGUAACGGCGCCAAGAGUCCACUAGUUUAAACAUUUCUAUUCCCCUUCAUGACUGAGAGAGGCAUCACAUCUUACAACAACAGCAAAGGAGCGAUGUCACAUAAUAGCCCAACAUGUGAGACUGGUUCGGCUACACAUGUUUUGUAAUGACAGUCACAAUUGUUUCGGUACGUGUUUCAUGCGUCUCUGCUUCUGUGCGUGAGUCAGCCGGACCUCCAGGAAUGCCGGCAGAGAAGUCUAGUGUCGCCUCCCUUUGCUUGUAGUUCAUUAGGAAACCCCGAGUGUUCAUCUCCUUCCCAGUGUCUUUUGUAUACCAUUAAUUAUGAUACCAAACGUUAAUACCAGUAGAGAACACCUUGAGAGAGAGAGAGAGAGAGAGAGAGGUUGGGUCGAGGGUCAAUUGUGUGAUGAUGCUUUAGUGAAUGAGCUGAACUGAAGCCGUGGCUGGGAUUCGAAGCCUCGCCUUCAGUACACCGAAGCACCGCAAGGAUAAUCAAACCUGAAAAUACUGGUUCGAGAAAGAGAGAGAGAGAGAGAGAGAGAGAAAGAGAGAGAGAGAGUCGCUCAGUCGGCUAUAUCUGGUUGUCGGUGCUGUUCGUAUGUUGGACAUUUACAAGCGUGUGUACAUGUAUGCUGAGAAGACUGAGCUACCGUUACGCUGACCUGUCGUGAUUGUCAUAGGUACUGCGGUAGAGGCAACGUUUUCGUGAAUGUUCCAGAAGAGAGGCAGCCUGGUGUGCUCGGUGAUGGAGGCACGCACGCUUUGGGAAGGGCGCUACGCCAUGAAGGAGAGGAAAACCGUCAAGACGACCUUUCAGGGACGCGUCUACAACUUCCUGGAAAGACCCACGGGAUGGAAAUGUUUUCUCUAUCACUUCUCUGUGUGAUGCUGAGAAGACCCAACUGCAAGUUCUUCAGUUAUUUUGGAGGUCCGUCAAGGGGAUGAUGUCCAGCAUAUGAAGGUCCACCUAUCAGAUGUGCAGAUGGAGGGAAGAUGUGAAGUGAAGGUACUCCAGCUUAGGACGUUCUUAGACCUACGUGGCUCACCUCCUUCCUGCUCUGAAUGCUGUACUUCACUGUGGACAGCCCUGUGUGGCGGUCACGGUGACGCGUCACCUCCUGCUGGUUGUAGCACUUGAUCAUGUCCCGCCGCCGCCGCCGCUGGUCGUGGACAUGCCUGUGGGGAAGGUGGAGUGUUAGUACUGCCCUCAGUGUUCUUCUAUUGGGAGUCUCUAAUGAUUCAUCCCAGCUGGCAGGAAAAAGGUGUUCAGCAAUACUUCUUGUAUAUAUCACAAUCUAAAAUCAAGAAUAAAAUAAGAACUACAGCUGGUUUUUUACAUCACUUUUCAACACAACCAAAAUAUUUGUAGAGUAGAAUGUUACUAUUCCAUUCACCAAAAUGUUCUCUACCUAAAUACAGCAUGACAAAUAAAAAUGUAAUAACUUCCA